AAAAACAAAAAAAGAAAAAUGACACAGGAAAUGAAUUCAAUGUGGGUUCACUCAUGAAACCAGUGGAAAAUAGUCCAUCCUCAUCCUCUCCCACAAUGUCCACGGCUGAAAAUAUCAAGGCCACGAGGAUGGCAAAGCAGCAGACCAAGGCAAAGAUCACGAUGCACUUCUGCUGGGACUGGAGGGAGAGAAAAGAGGAGCACACUAAGAUGGAGAUAGAAGAAAAAGCAUGUAAAAAACAUAUGUGCGGGGCUUG